rnacentral:lncRNA from 1 species
UGACCAGGGGGUUUGAACCUCUAUAUGCAGCCCAGAUGGGCGUAUCAUGUACGGCUUUAAGCACUGGUAUUCGGCGAUAGGGGUAAAAUGGCCUCAGGAGACAGGGUGCAGUCACGACUGUUUAAAAAAAGCUAUUAUCAUCAUCAUCAUUAUUAUUCAACUCCACUGAAUAGGUGUUUAAUAAAAUUAAUCAGUUUCAGUUUCUAAAUAGCACAACUUCUUCAACAGUUUCCAGUUUCCAUCUAGUACCCUGAAGUAGGUUAGGUUAAAAUUAUCAAGAUAUUGUGUUGAAAAGAGUGGGGGCACUAACAAUUUAUCAACGUUGGCAAAAAGUAAAACACUCUUUGAAGUACUUUAAAAUUUAAUUCUUUAACAUGCGCAAAUUGUAAAUAUUUGCAGCAAAUAAUUGCAUUCCACAGUUACUGCACAGAUAAAUAUGGGUGAGUGCAUUUAAAUAUGUUCAGGUUUUACAACACUACACAUUACCUAUACCACAGACAGAUUGAGUGCAAUGAAACAAGUACAGAUUUUAUAAAUAUAAACCCAAACUGUUGAUAUCAUUAUGUAAUGGGUUUAUCAUGUUGUUUAUUGUUUACUCUACAAAUGUAUUCUUCUGACUUUACAACAAUGCUAUCAAAGUAAAAAUAGAACUAUGAAGUUGAA